rnacentral:rRNA from 1 species
GUAGGGUCCAAGCGUUAAUCGGAAUUACUGGGCGUAAAGCGUGCGUAGGCGGUCUCGCAAGUCCGAUGUGAAAUCCCCGGGCUUAACCUGGGAACUGCGUUGGAAACUAUGAGACUCGAGUGCGGCAGAGGGGGGUGGAAUUCCAGGUGUAGCAGUGAAAUGCGUAGAUAUCUGGAGGAACACCGAUGGCGAAGGCAGCCCCCUGGGUCAGCACUGACGCUCAUACACGAAAGCGUGGGGAGCAAACAGGAUUAGAUACCCUGGUAGUCCACGCCCUAAACUAUGGCAACUAGUUGUUGGGGGAUGAACUCCCUUAGUAACGCAGCUAACGCGUGAAGUUGCCCGCCUGGGGAGUACGGUCGCAAGAUUA